UACGGAGGGGGCAAGCGUUAUUCGGAAUUACUGGGCGUAAAGGGCGCGUAGGCGGCCUGACAGGUCGCAGGUGAAAUCCCUCGGCUCAACCGAGGAACUGCCUGCGAAACCGUCGGGCUUAGAGGCCGGGAGAGGGUGGCGGAAUUCCCAGUGUAGCGGUGAAAUGCGUAGAGAUUGGGAGGAACACCAGUGGCGAAGGCGGCCACCUGGACCGGUUCUGACGAUGAGGCGCGAAAGCGUGGGUAGCAAACAGG
rnacentral:rRNA from 1 species